CUGACACAGGGAGGUAGUGACAAUAAAUAACAAUGCCGGGCCUAUACAGGUCUGGCAAUUGGAAUGAGAACAAUUUAAAUCCCUUAUCGAGUAUCAAUUGGAGGGCAAGUCUGGUGCCAGCAGCCGCGGUAAUUCCAGCUCCAAUAGCGUAUAUUAAAGUUGUUGCAGUUAAAAAGCUCGUAGUUGGAUUUCUGGCAGGAGUGACCGGUCACACACUCUGUGUGUGAACUCGCGUUGUCUCUGGCCAUCCUUGGGGAGAUCCUGUUUGGCAUUAAGUUGUCGGGCAGGGGAUACCCAUCGUUUACUGUGAAAAAAUUAGAGUGUUUAAAGCAGGCUUAUGCCGUUGAAUAUAUUAGCAUGGAAUAAUAAGAUAGGACUUCGGAACUAUUUUGUUGGUUUGCGUUACGAAGUAAUGAUUAAUAGGGACAGUUGGGGGCACUCGUACUCCGUUGUCAGAGGUGAAAUUCUUGGAUUGACGGAAGACGAACAACUGCGAAAGCAUCUG
rnacentral:rRNA from 1 species